UACGUAGGUGACAAGCGUUGUCCGGAUUUACUGGGCGUAAAGAGCGCGCAGGCGGUCGAUCAAGUCGAGUGUGAAAGCCCCCGGCUCAACUGGGGAGGGUCAUUCGAAACUGGUCGACUCGAAGGCAGGAGAGGGUAGUGGAAUUCCCGGUGUAGUGGUGAAAUGCGUAGAUAUCGGGAGGAACGCCAGUGGCGAAGGCGACUACCUGGCCUGUUCUUGACGCUGAGGCGCGAAAGCUAGGGGAGCAAACGGG
rnacentral:rRNA from 1 species